AGCAGCCGCGGUAAUUCCAGCUCCAAUAGCGUAUAUUAAAGUUGUUGCAGUUAAAAAGCUCGUAGUUGAAUUUCGGGAUUCUACCGUCGGUCGGGCUAACAAGUCUGUACUGGUGUGUAGAAUUUCUACCUUCUGGGGAACUAUCAUGUUAUUAAUUUAGCGUGGUGGGAAACCAGGACCUUUACCUUGAAAAAAUUAGAGUGUUCAAAGCAGGCUUACGUCUGAAUACAUUAGCAUGGAAUAAUAGAAUAGGACGGUGGUCCUGUUUUGUUGGUUUCUGAAUCACCGUAAUGAUUAAUAGGGAUAGUUGGGGGCAUUAGUAUUCAAUUGUCAGAGGUGAAAUUCUUGGAUUUAUUGAAGACUAACUUCUGCGAAAGCAUUUGCCAAGGAUGUUUUCAUUAAUCAAGAACNAAAGUUAGGGGAUCGAAGACGAUCAGAUACCGUCGUAGUCUUAACCAUAAACUAUGCCGACUAGGGAUCGGACGAUGUUAACCUUUAUUGACUCG
rnacentral:rRNA from 1 species